CGGAGCUUGCUCCACCGGAAAAAGAGGAGUGGCGAACGGGUGAGUAACACGUGGGUAACCUGCCCAUCAGAAGGGGAUAACACUUGGAAACAGGUGCUAAUACCGUAUAACAAUCAAAACCGCAUGGUUUUGAUUUGAAAGGCGCUUUCGGGUGUCGCUGAUGGAUGGACCCGCGGUGCAUUAGCUAGUUGGUGAGGUAACGGCUCACCAAGGCCACGAUGCAUAGCCGACCUGAGAGGGUGAUCGGCCACAUUGGGACUGAGACACGGCCCAAACUCCUACGGGAGGCAGCAGUAGGGAAUCUUCGGCAAUGGACGAAAGUCUGACCGAGCAACGCCGCGUGAGUGAAGAAGGUUUUCGGAUCGUAAAACUCUGUUGUUAGAGAAGAACAAGGAUGAGAGUAACUGUUCAUCCCUUGACGGUAUCUAACCAGAAAGCCACGGCUAACUACGUGCCAGCAGCCGCGGUAAUACGUAGGUGGCAAGCGUUGUCCGGAUUUAUUGGGCGUAAAGCGAGCGCAGGCGGUUUCUUAAGUCUGAUGUGAAAGCCCCCGGCUCAACCGGGGAGGGUCAUUGGAAACUGGGAGACUUGAGUGCAGAAGAGGAGAGUGGAAUUCCAUGUGUAGCGGUGAAAUGCGUAGAUAUAUGGAGGAACACCAGUGGCGAAGGCGGCUCUCUGGUCUGUAACUGACGCUGAGGCUCGAAAGCGUGGGGAGCAAACAGGAUUAGAUACCCUGGUAGUCCACGCCGUAAACGAUGAGUGCUAAGUGUUGGAGGGUUUCCGCCCUUCAGUGCUGCAGCUAACGCAUUAAGCACUCCGCCUGGGGAGUACGACCGCAAGGUUGAAACUCAAAGGAAUUGACGGGGGCCCGCACAAGCGGUGGAGCAUGUGGUUUAAUUCGAAGCAACGCGAAGACCCUUACCAGGUCUUGACAUCCUUUGACCACUCUAGAGAUAGAGCUUCCCCUUCGGGGGCAAAGUGCCAGGUGGUGCAUGGUUGUCGUCAGCUCGUGUCGUGAGAUGUUGGGUUAAGUCCCGCAACGAGCGCAACCCUUAUUGUUAGUUGCCAUCAUUCAGUUGGGCACUCUAGCAAGACUGCCGGUGACAAACCGGAGGAAGGUGGGGAUGACGUCAAAUCAUCAUGCCCCUUAU
rnacentral:rRNA from 1 species